CCUACGGGGGGCUGCAGUGGGGAAUAUUGCACAAUGGGGGAAACCCUGAUGCAGCGACGCCGCGUGAGUGAGGAAGUAUUUCGGUAUGUAAAGCUCUAUCAGCAGGGAGGAAAAUGACGGUACCUGACUAAGAAGCCCCGGCUAACUACGUGCCAGCAGCCACGGUAAUACGUAGGGGGCAAGCGUUAUCCGGAUGUACUGGGGGUAAAGGGAGCGUAGACGGCUAAUCAAGUCAGAAGUGAAAACCCAGGGCUCAACUGUGGGACUGCUUUUGAAACUGAGUAGCUAGAGUGCAGGAGAGGUAAGCGGAAUUCCUAGUGGAGGGGGGAAAUGCGUAGAGAUUAGGAGGAAAACCAGUGGCGAAGGCGGCUUACUGGACUGUAACUGACGUUGAGGCUCGAAAGCGUGGGGAGCAAACAGGAUUAGAUACCCGAGUAGUC
rnacentral:rRNA from 1 species